rnacentral:rRNA from 1 species
AUUGAACGCUGGCGGCAGGCCUAACACAUGCAAGUCGAGCGAGCGGCGGACGGGUGAGUAAUGUCUGGGAAACUGCCUGAAGGAGGGGGAUAACUACUGGAAACGGUAGCUAAUAACGCAUACGAUCAGAUGUGCCCAGAUGGGAUUAGCUAGUUGGUGGGGUAACUGCCCACCUCGGCGAUGAUCCCUAGCUGGUCUGAGAGGAUGACCAGCCACCUUGGAAAUGAGACACGGUCCAGACUCCUACGGGUGGAUGCAGUGGUGAAGAUUGCACAAUGGGCGCAAGCCUAAUGCAUCCAUGCCGCGUGUGUGAAGAAGGCCUUCGGGUUGUAAAGCACUUUCAGCGGGGAGGCUUUACCCGCAGAAGAAGCACCGGCUAACUCCGUGCCAGCAGCCGCGGUAAUAC